AUGGCCGUGCAGGCGCAAAACCUCUCCCACGCCUUCCCCCACGACCUCCACGCCUACAACAGCGUCAGUGCUCUGGAGGACGAGAUGACGGGCGGCUCCCUCUUCUUCCCCGAGAACCUCAAGCGCGGGCCGGAACUGGACGCUGCUGGGAACACGCUGUUCGGCGACGUUCCGCGCGUCGAUCCCACUUGGCACGACAAUACCACCCGCAGCCACGGUAUAGUGCAGAGGAAGCGGGCGCGCGUCGUGCCGGAGGCGCCUUCAUACUUGGAGAAUCAGCGCGGGCAGGGGCGUGUGCCCGUCGGUGAUCUUCUGACCAGGGCGGUGGGCUCCGGCACGGCGUCAACCAGUGGGAGAAUGAUCAAUGCCGCCGGCCCGCCGCCGGACCUGCUCUCGCAGCUGUACCGUCAGGGCAUGGAGAUCGAUGCAGUCCUACGACUCGAGACCGACCGCAUGCGCGCGGGGCUGGAGGAGGCGCGGCAGCAGCACGUCACGGCGCUGGUAUCGGCGGCGGAGCGUGCUGCGGCGAGGCAGCUGCGUGCCGCGGAGGCCGCGCUGGAGCUGGCGCGCUGCCGCAACGCGAAGCUGUCAGAGAGGCUCACCCAGAUUUGCGCCGAGGGUCAGGCGUGGAUACGCGUCGCCAAGAGCCACGAGGCAGUCGCUGCGGGCCUCCAAGCUACACUCGACCAGCUUCUGCAAUCCCCUUGCGCUGCCGUGGCCGCCACCGGAGCGGAUGGAGACGGCGACGCCGAGGACGCGCGGUCCUGCUGUUUCGAGACCCCCGCCGGCGACGACGCUGCGGCAUCCAAGGCGUCGGCGGCGGCGUGCAGGGCUUGCGGCGAGGGCGAGUCGUGCGUGUUGCUGCUGCCGUGCAGGCACCUGUGCCUCUGCAGCGCGUGCGACGCCGCCGUGGACACUUGCCCGUUGUGCGCGACCACCAAGAACGCGUCGCUCCAUGUCCUGCUCUCGUGA
rnacentral:rRNA from 1 species